UCAGAAUUUUUUCUCUCUCUUCCUCCCGUUUUCUCUCUCCUUUAGCAAAUCCUCUGAGAGCUUCGAUUCACAUCUCCAUCUUCUCCAACAUCUUCGAUUAUCAUUCUGUAAUUCCUUCAUAUUCUUUGCGAUUUUUCGUCUCUCUCAAUUCACGCACGCAGGUUGCUUUAGGGCUCUUUUUGAUGCAUGAAGUCAAGAAGGGAGUGUACUGGUAGCACUGGUAGCAGGUGGUUUCCAGAAUUAGAGAUUUGGUGAAUGUUGGUUAACAAGUACAGAUGUUGUUAUGUUUAUGAUAGAGUACAGUGGCCUGAAGGUUCCAGAGUCAUUAUCAAGAUGUCAACCCUGCAUAUUCUUGGCAUAUCAGCAUAUGCCUUCUAAUCCUCAUUGAUGGAUUGCCAGCAGCGAAUGUAGCGACCAUCUAACAUCAGAGAAAUGGACGAUACCUAAAAUUCUAGUUUAGUGUUCUUCUUGUUGAUGUAGCAGUCAUGUUUGAAGAGUUGAUGAAGCCUUUAAUAUGACCAGCUAGGCAGCCGCGUUUCACUCGGCUUGUUGUUCAGUCGGCUCGUCGCUGCAGUUCUAUUACUUAUGAGUAUUUUUGAGAUUUUCUAAUUUACUUUUGAGUAUUUUUAAUUUACUUUUGAGUACUUUUAAUUUACUUUUGAGUUAAUACUCCCUAAUCCCUAUUAUUUACUUCUGAAUUUUUUUAUGUUCUUCUCUAUGUUGUAGCAGUCUUGUUUGCAAACGCAGUUUUAGUUCUAGUAGAGGCAGCCUUUGUUCUGACCAGCUAAGCACCCACGUUCAAAUCUGCUGGUUCUGCAAGUCUAUUGGCAGUAGCUAGUUGCUGCAGACCUGAUGCAGGAUGUUCGAAGCUGAAGUCAACUUUUCAAGGUUGAAUUUUGUAGCAGGUACUUGCAGUACUUACAAAGAAGAGGUGGAUGCUUUGUAGAGAGCUCUAGAUGGUGAAGAGCUUGUCCACCAUGAAUGCCCAAAAACAGAGAGGAAUAUUUCAUUGAUCAUUGAGGUUGAAGAAUCAAUAGUCCAUAAAACAACUUCCAUAAGGAGAGUAUGCCUACUUUUUUUUUUCCUUCUUUUUUCUUUUUUCUUUUCUUCUUUUAUUAUUGUUUUUCCAUCUUUUUUCUUCUUCCUUAAGGAAUCCCACUCCUUACUGGCAUAGAGUUCGUUUGGAUUUUAUGCAAAUUAUGUUGUUGAUUAUCGCGCAUGUCCUGCUGCACGAAAGAUGUGCCAGUGCACACGAUAAGCUUCUGCGCUCGUUGGUUGGUUAUUUACUAACCAAGAUCGAGCAAAAGGCAUAGAAACUUGGACCCGGAGGGGUUGAACGAUUAUUGAUACCCUGGAUCUCCACUCCUUUAAGCACUGAGGACAUUGCUGAGUUUGGCUUGGGGGAGGUAUGUGUAAUUACUUUCUAGAGUAGUUUAUCGCUUUUGAAAAAAAAAGAACAAAAAUGCGUUCCGAUGAAUACAAAAUCUUGCUUCCCUAUGCCCCUUGAUUGAAAAUUAUUUUGAUUCUUGGUUUUUUAUGACGAGCAUUGUUGAUUUGUUAACCAUGAUUUGAUUUUCGACUAUUUUGAUGCCUUAACAUGAGUCAACUUUGACUAACUGUUUGUGGACUUGGUGUCUGGCUAGUUGAUUUUGUUAGGAAUGUGUGUUAGCUUCCUGGUAUGUCAUUGAUUUUGAGUAUUGGUUUGCAACUGUUAGUAAUGUUUUAUGGCUCACAUGCAUGUACAUUGAGGAGGACGAAGGCAUUUCUUCUUUUAGGUGGCCUUCAGACGAUUUUAGAUACAUUUGUUCCCUUCUUUCUACCCAUGUUGUUGCUUGUGCCCUUUUGUUUGGUGACUAACCAUAUUACAAUCCUAUUAAGCCCCAUUAGUUACUAGUCACAGGCUCAGGGCCGUCUCCGACAAUUUGGAGGCCUUGUGCUAAAUAUAGAUAUUGGUCCCCUAAAAUUUUUACGGACGAUUAUUUAAUGUAAAACACAUAAUUAUUAUAUUAAUAUUAUUUUAUUUAUACAAAAUAUAGAGUCAAAUUAAUAAUAUGGUUUAACGUUUUAUGUGGAUCAAUUUUAGAAAUGAAUGAAAAAAGUUUGACAGCCAUUGAAAAAGCAAAAAAAAUAUACAAAAAACAGCAUGAGUUAAGAAUCGAACUCUGGUAUCCUCUCCCACACUUAUUACCGUUUACCAACUGGGAGAAACAUCAUACAAUGUUUACUAGAGCAGCGGUUAAAUAUAUAAUAAAAAAUUCUGGGAGUUUAAUUAACACAAUUUCGUUUGGGCCCCAAAAAUUAUGUGGCUCGGUGCUGUAGGUCUUAGCUUGGGGGAGCCAUUAGUGAGUGAGGCGAGGGAGUUAUAGUGUGUUUCAUUUGAGCACGAUUUGGGUAUUGGAAAAAGAAAGGGGGUUCUUCUUGUUCACAUGUGGUGAUUAGAAAAAAAAAAUGAUGAGUAAAAGAUGAGAAGAAUUGAGAAUGUGAAGGUUCCCAAAAGGGAGAAAAAGAAAAAAGAAAAAGAAAAAAUAAUUGAGCAAGAAAAGAGAAAAAUUCAUUACUUUCAGAAAAAUUCAAAGCAUAUUUUCACUCAAGUGUCGUAAUUUCAUAUUUUUAUGCGUGAUCGGUUUUAGUUGUGGAAAAAGGCGAAAAAG